rnacentral:snRNA from 1 species
GUGAGGGCUAUCUGGCUGCGACAUCUGUCACCCCAAUAAUCUUCAGGGUUGAUUUGGUGAUCUGGCUGGGUGUCCCUUUCCUCCCUCACUGCUCCAUGUGUGUCCCUCCUGAAGCUGCACGCUCGGUCGAAGAGGACAACCUUCCCUGAAAAGAAACUGCCGGUCUUCGGCUGAGGGUAUAUGAGUAGCUGCGCUCCCCUGCUACAACCUCCAAACAAGCUCUCUACAUAGUAAAAUAAAUCACGAAAUCCCGUUAAUCGCCGAUUUCUCG